UACGGGGGGAGCAAGCGUUGUUCGGAUUUACUGGGCGUAAAGGGCGCGUAGGCGGGCGGCUUUGUCAGGGGUGAAAUCUUUCGGCCCAACCGGAAGACUGCCUCUGAGACGGGCCGUCUCGAGGGAGGUAGGGGCAUGCGGAACUUCCGGUGGAGCGGUGAAAUGCGCAGAUAUCAGGAGGAACACCGAUGGCGAAGGCAGGUCUCUGGGCAUUAACUGACGCUGAGGAGCGAAAGCAUGGGGAGCGAACAGG
rnacentral:rRNA from 1 species